AGAUGGGGGAUGUGAGGUGGCCGGUGGGCUAGACUGCAGAAGUCUGGAUUCUCCCAGGAGAGACUGGUCCCCUUGGUGCUACCAAGAGGUGUCAGUUUGGGUGUGACCUUCAGUUAGAUUGACAGUUUCGCUAUCCCACAGGGGCGGAGGCGGAGGAGGGGAGGGAAGUGGGUGGAGGAGAGGGCUGCCCGAACCUCUUGUCCAGCCCACCUAAGCAUGAAGUGUUUUCAGUUGUUUGCUUGAAACCUCUCAUCUCUGAUUGAAGUAGCCGAAAUCACUGCAAAAUUCAAAUUGAGUCCCACUGUGGCCGGUAGGACCACCAGUGCCCAUCACAGACUGAAUGAGGAGCUGCCUCCUCCUGGGGAAUGUGAAGUGCCCAGGCUUAGAAGCCAAUUGAAGGCGGGGCCAGGCGGAGGACUGAUUUCAGGGUCCCAGUUUUUAGGGCCACCCCAGAGGGAAAGGAGGGAUCGAGAGUCAAGAAAGAAGCAAACCAUCAAAUGUAAAGGAAAAAAGAAUGCCUUUGAUAUUUUUAGCCCUCUGCCUUCCGGAUGAAGUGUAGCAAACGCAGGCGACACCUUGGAAGGGACCAAGUUGGUCUGCAGCUGCGAUUUCGUGAGUUCACCGUUGUGAGUGCGGGCUUGGAAAUGGAACUCUGGUCCAGGAGGAAAAGGAAAUGUUGGGUCUGAUAUCUCACCCUCACAACCCUCACCUGGACUUUCCUUUUCCAAGCCAGAGAGGUCAGAGGAGGCUCUUGACACCUGCCAGGAACCUGGGAAGGCUGAAUUCAGAUCUUCACCUCUCCUGCUUCUCCAGAUCCAAUCCUCUACUCUCCUCCCCAGCUGGGCAGCAGUAGUCCUGGUGAAGCCUCCCCCUACAUCAUCUCUAGUAGAUUUCACAAACCUUCUCCUAUUUCUUGGUUAGGGUUUCUACUGCUUUGAAGAGACACCACGACCACAGUAACUUUUAUAAGGAAAACAUUUAAUUAGGCUUACAGUUUCAGAGGUUUAGUCCAUUAUCAUCACAGCAAGAAGCAAGGCAGCAUGCAGGCACACAUGGUGCUAGAGAGGGAGCUGAGAAUUCUUACAUCUUGACUCACAGGAAACAGCAAGUGGUCAUGAUGUUUCUUCACAGCAGCAGAAAUCCUACCUAAGACAGAAGUUGGUACCAGGGACUUGGGUAUUACUGUGAUAAGCCUGGCCAUGUUUUUGUUUGAAGGAAUAUGUACCUUGAGAUUGCCAAUCAGAAAAGUAGCUGAACUCCAAGUGUUGCUUAAUGGGUCAUACUAGUAGGAACAUGGAAGACAGUGAUGCCUAAUGUGAUUUGAUGAACUGUGGGGGGCUGGCUCAAGAGGUUUCAGAGGAGAAUAUUAAUAUGUGGCCUAGAGAUUGUUCUUGUGAUAUUUUGGUGAAUUGUGUGGCUCCCUUUGGCUUUCGUCUGAAGAGUCUGCCAGAGGCUAAAGUGAAGAGCUUUAUUUUAUUUAUUAAUUUCAUUGGCAGAGGAAAUCUCAAAAUAGCCUAGUAUAAUAGCUCUGUAUUGUGGUUAUUAGUGGUAACUCUUAUAAAGAUUUAUAAUGAAAAGGAGCAAGCUGAGCAGGAUAAAUUACAAAAUGUAAAAUUUAAGGAUAAAAGAAGCACCAAAAACGGAACAGAGCUAAGUCUUUUGUUCAAGCAGAUAAAUAGAUUAAGAAAUGAAAUAGAAGGAGUGGUGGCCUCAGGGCAAGAUGUCACCUAGCUAAGUUUCCAACUUGUGAAAAAAGCUUAGUGCUGGGUGUGGUGGUGUACACCUUUAAUCCCAUCACUCAGAAGGCAGAGGCUGGCAGAUCUCCGAGCUUGAGACAAGCUGGUGUACAGAACAAGUUUGAAGACAGCCAAGCUUAGGAAGUAAAGGGAAACAGAAAGCUGAUAAAGAUGUAAUUAAAUGAGGAGACCAUGUUUCAGCCCCAGCAAGAAGCAAAACUUGGCAGCUUUGGCCGUGUGGUUCUGGAGUUAAGGAUAGAAAGAAAGGGCUAUGGAGUUUGCCUCUGCAUCUAAGGAAAGCUGCUGAGGAGUAUCCCUGAAUAGAGGCCUAGAGAGGCCACUGUAUGAAGCUGUGAUGUUGAAGCCUGGAUUGUCUUGGAGAACCUCAAGAUGUUGGAGAUGCCAGAGCUGUGGGAUGCCUUAUGAGGAGAGCUGCUAACAAGGAGUGGAAUCAGUCAAAAGUCAGUCAAAGAGAAAGAAGUAUGUUGUAGGCAUCAAAGCUGAAAGGAGUUGGAGAUCUGAAGAACAUUUUGACAUCAGACAUGGAGAUGCAGAGUUUGGAAUUUGCCCAGCUAGUUUUUGGUCAUGCUUUGGUCCAGUAUUUUUCAUUUUCAAAUAAAACCUGAGAGGAAAACACUCCGUUGGGUGAAUACUGUGAUAUAAAGGAGGAAUGCCAAGUUUAAAUGUAAUCUAGUGCCCAGUUUUCCACUGGAUAGAAUACAGAAAAUUUAUGUCACUUUGUGUUCCCUUAAGCUACUGUGAUUUGACUGUAUUUGCACAACAUAUAUUCCUACAUAUCUUAACUGCAUUAAGUAAUAGAACUUUGACAAAGUUUAUAAUUCAGCUUCUCUCAGUGUAAUCUUUUACUCUCAACAUUAAUUUUCUAACAUAAACGUUGAGAAAUAUUCUCAGUCUUAUUAAACUUAAUACUUCAGUAUGGAAGUUUACAAGAGAAAGAAGAAGUAUUAAAUACCUUAAGUCAUACAAAGAGAUGAAUGAUGACCCAUACAACACACUACCAUUUAUUUGGAAGUAAAUACAUCUGUAAAGUAAGCCACAAACCAUUUAUGGAUCCCUAGUGGACAACAGCGUUUCUGUUUGUGUGUCAGGUAAUUGGGGAUCAAACUCAAGUCUCCUAUAUUUCAACAAGUAUUUUUCUAAUAAUAUUAUUUGUAAACCCUUAUAGUGUGUGUGUGUGUGUGUGUGUGAGUGUGUGUGUGUGUGUGUGUGUGUGUGUGUGUGUGUGCGUGCAUGCCUGUCUGUCUGUCUGUCUGUCUUUGUGUACUGAAAGAAGACAUAGCAAGAAGAGAAUCUUAUAUGUAUAUGGAUGGGGAUGUGUGUUUAGGUUCACAAAUGAGACUUCCAGGUAAAUGUUACAAAUAAUGCAAUAUUACACAACUAGAACAUAUUGGAAAUAAAGCUGCAGGAAUGCAGGGAGUGUUUUAUUCAUUGAAAUGUGUAAUAUUUAAAACACUGAAAAAACUAUAAUACGUGGAAAGAAUGAAAGUUUCCAAAAGACAACAAUCAUUGCUUUCAUGAUUACUACACUGGUAUUUGGCACGUUGUACUUUAUUUUGUGUGUUCAAUCUGGGUAUACCUAAUAUUUUCAUGAUUAAAGAAAAAUCAGUGUGAGAAUUCUCUUACCAUCAUGUAUUUCUAUUUUCCUGUUUCGUGGCAGCUACAUUUUUAUAGGCGAAACAUCUGAUGGCUGGUAAGGCAUCUGUCACAUCCACGCUUCGCACAUUUUCCAUGGAAGGUGUACAGUGCACAGGAAACUGGCUGCUCUGCAGUCUCCCCUUUGAGGACGACUUGUCCUUCACAUUGAAUGUGUACUAGGAAAAGAAAAUGUUGACACUGGUGCAUAGAAUCCAGCAUCUGACUGUGCAUGGAUAAAAAAAUGGAAGGCAUUGAAUAAAUCAAUUAAAAGGGGUAUUAAUGUCAUUGUUCAUUCCAAACAAAUCGUGCUUUGAAUUUUGUCUAAUUUAUAUUUAAUUUGUGAAAAAAAACAAGAACUUUCCAUAGUAUGUGAACAAAACAACUUAAAAUUAUAAAAUUAAAAUGGUAAAAUAUUGGUAUAACAAAAUAAAAGAGUUUUGUUUUUGUUUUUUCUGACUAGGGGAAUUUUUACAUAAUUGGUCAUUUCUUAUAUGUCUAAAUAUAUAACAGUUUGUGUUUAAAUUAAAAUGGUUUCUGUUAAACUUUACAAUGAAAUGAUAUAGUUUAAUUCUCAUCACCAGGAAGCAGGGUAACAUUUGUAUUGUGAUACAGAUUAGCUUCAGAGAUUAAGCCCAAGAUCUGUUAAUAAUUGCUUUAGAGUUAAAUGUGAAAUCAUUUUUUGUGAAUAAAUAUGAUUUUACAAGUAAAAUGAUAUUCACACAAAUAUACCAUAAUCUGAAGUCCUAGUCUAGAAUUUGCAUGUCUGUAUCAUGGCUAACUUGACAAAACACGAUUCCUGUGUUAGUUAUGUCUAUACAUUAUGCUACAUUUCUGAAUCAUUUGUAUUUAUUAUUCAAAUUCUUUGUUUUACUUGAAUAGUGAUGUGUAGCAGGAUCUCAAAGAGUUUUAUUAAUAAAAUCAAACCUGGGGCCAGUUAUUAGGGUGAACACUGGAAGACCAGAGAGACAGAACAAGCCACAGCUAACCUCACCUGGUCAACUUCUCAGUUGGUCUUGUUUCCUCAGACUGGAAGCUUCUGUGUCCUCAUAUCUGAAUGGCUCUCACCUGAGCUGUGCUGCUUGAAGCCUGAAAGCUUAACCAGCCAAAUGCUUCUAGUUUCUGGUCCUCACGCCUUAUAUACCUUUCUGCUUUCUACUACCAGUCCCUGGGAUUAAAGGCUGCUUUCUGGGAUUAAAGGCGUGUGUCACCACGCCUGGCCGUUUCCAAUGUGGCCUUGAACUCACAGAGAUCCAGAGGGAUUUCUAACUCUGGAAUGUUAGGAUUAAAGGUGUGACUGCCACCAUUUUCUAGCCUUUGUAUCUAGUGGCUGUUCUGUCUCUGACCCCAGAUAAGUUUAUUAGGGUUCACAAUGUUUUGGAGAACACAAUACCACCACAGUGAUGCACAGUUCUUAUAAAGCAAAUGACUUUGGUGGAGCAUGAGUGUUAUCCAGUGCUGUACAUUUAAAGUUCCAGGACUUGUGCCUCUGUCCCUGAUUUUCUAAGAAUAAAUGACACCUGCACAUUUAAAAUGGAGCAAAAAAAAAAUUACUCAUUGCAUUUAAAAAGGAUUGCUGUUAAAAGGAAGUAAACUGUAGCCUCUUCACGUUC